CUAGUGAAGACAAAUGGAUAUCUUGUGAAGGAGCCUGAACAAAUCUCUUCUGGUGGGAUAGGUGAAGUGUCUUCUAAGUAUCUCAAGGUACCUGAUGAAACAGAACUGGUGGAUGAUGAUGGACAAAACAAAUCUCUUCUAGUGAAGACAAAUGGAUAUCUUGUGAAGGAGCCCGAACAAAUCUCUUCUGGUGGGAUAGGUGAAGUGUCUUCUAAGUAUCUCAAGGUACCUGAUGAAACAGAACUAGUGGAUGAUGAUGGACAAAACAAAUCUCUUCUAGUGAAGACAAAUGGAUAUCUUGUGAAGGAGCCCGAACAAAUCUCUUCUGGUGGGAUAGGUGAAGUGUCUUCUAAGUAUCUCAAGGUACCUGAUGAAACAGAGCUAGUGGAUGAUGAUGGACAAAACAAAAGAGAAGGCAGCCUAGACUGCUAUCAUUCUGAUGACGCGGCUAGUGAGGUUGAUGAUUAUAUGG
rnacentral:lncRNA from 1 species